GUUGAAAUACCAGUUCCUGUAUGAUCACUGAAGUUAAGCAACAUUGAGCCUGGUUGGUACCUAGAUGGGCGACUGUUUGGGAAUACCAGGUG